GUCCCUUCCUUCUCUUCUUUCUCUCUCUCCCUUUGAAACCCUAUUCAUCUCCUUGAGCUUCACCAAAUUGAGCUUCUUCCUCCCUUCUUUCCCUUCCUUCAGAUAACUCUUGCCACCUUUGCCAUCGUUUGCCUGCUCUCUUUCUUGUUCUUUUUCCUUCGUUCUUGCCCUAUUCCCUUCUCUCUCUUUCUUUUGCAAAUCCUCAUUCUGAUUCCACUUCUUUUUACUUCUCUGGAAUUUUAACGCAUCUCCUAUAGUGUGAAUCAUGAAACGGUCUCUGAGGAUUAGGAUGGAAAUCUGUGGAGUUUCAGAGAGGUGCUGAGGAGGAACGAUCGAUUGUUAUGAUGAGAUCCAGAAAUAGAUCUCAUCAAAAGAACCUUUUUCAUUUUCUAUUCCAUCAGCUCCGAUUUCCUUGUGUCUGCGAAAUGGAGCUGUACGGGCGAUCUAGUGAGGGUUCCCGAUCUGAUCAAUGGCUGAAGUGGAUCAGAAUUUGACUCAAAGGCUGUGUGGCAAAUAAGAUUGGGUGCUACAGAGGAAUUUUAUCCCCAAAGACCUGGUGAGGCUGAUUGUAUCUACUAUUUGAGGACUAGAUUCUGUGGCUAUGGUUCCCACUGCCGUUUCAACCAUCUCCGUGACCGGGUCGAGAUCCGGUUUCAUUGUGUCCGCCCAAUGGAUCGGUACAGCCGAUUGAGCGAGGGUUCCCAGUCUGAUCCAGCAAGUGUUGUGGCUGUUGGUGCUGUUGCUAGGGCUGGAGGAUGGGAGUACCUGGAGCCAAUUGGCCAGCCUUUGUGCUAGGUUUACUUGAUCCAGAUUCCUAAAUAGGUAGAGUAUAUCGAUUCCAUUUGUUCCUUUAAAAUGAUGUGGUUAUCACUUACACUUCUAACCUGGUUGACAAAUUCUGGCUCGGGAUCUCAACCGGUGUCUCCCUGAUAUCUUGGGAUGUCUGAGAAGAAAGACGAAAGAGAAGUACACAUGAAUUGAUCGCUAAAACAAAAGAGAAGAUGUGUUUGAGGACUGCAAUAUAAGAAAGAGAACAGAGAUUAUUCAGAGACACCUAGAAACUCUACUGUUUAUUGGAUAAAAUGCUUAUCUAUUGCUUUACUUGAACUUUCCGAUGUGUCCUUUGCACCUGUGCUGAGGAGUACCUUAUGCCCUUGCCAGCAGUCGGGCUAUUGUAGAGGCUGCAAAUCCCAUUGAACUUCACUGUGAGCCUUUGAGGUCUCUCUAUUCUAUUGGAAGGUAAAGGAUCUUCUAGACUGGCUUCACCUUCUAGUGAGCGUGAUCAUCAGGUGUGUGGAGUUGUGGUGGCCUGUAUCCAUUGCAAAGCAAAAGAAUAUUUUUGGCGGUUGCGUUUUGGACAAUGUCGGCUUUGAUUUGCUUAAUGCUAUAUCACUACAAUGUGUUUACACGACAGCAGAAUUUGUUGGCUACUGCUCUAGGUAAUCAGGCCAACAGGCUAUGACUGCAAGCAAUGAAGUACAACUAAAGAAUAACUAAAGAGGCUUAUUAGUGGAGUGAGGUAAAAAGAACAUUUAGAAGGGGGAGAAGGAAGAACUAAGUUUUUCAUGCAUUAUAUGCAAGGUGCUACCGUUUCCUCUAAUGAUGAUGAGUUGAUAUCGAGUUAGUUGUUUAAAUGAUUAAGUUUAUGCUAUGAAUGGGUAUUUUCGUACAUUAUAUGAGGUCAAUCUUUACCUUUUCUUUUCUGUGGCAAAUCCUUUCUUUUUGGCAUUUGUUUUCAAAAUAAUAUUGAUUGAUUGAUUGAUGCAACGACGACUUAAUUACCUUUCAUCUCAUUACACUGUUGAUCCAAAUGCACAAACUGUAGGAUUUAUGUGUGUUAAAAUCAAUUUUAAAAAGGAUUUAGUUACUUGAAUUGUAUAAAAGAUGUUUUUGUGAUUUUUCUUUAAUUGAUUUGUGUGCACUUUCUGAAUGCAAAAAAGUAUAGGAUUUGUUUGUGUUAAAAUCAGUUUAAAAAAAUAUUUAGUCGCUUGAAUUAGUUACUUGAUUUGGUGAAUACCUAAUCAGUUUAAAAAGGAUUUAGCCACUUGAAUUGGAUAAUACUUUUUUAUUAAAAUGACAAGUUUUCUAAUUAGGCAAUUUGUUAGGAAAGAAAAUGUUAUAUUUAAUGGAUGUAAAUUAUAUUUAAAUGUCUCAAAUUUCUCAAUUUUAUAUUUUCUCAUCUAAAGGUGUCAAAUUCGUUUUUGGUAACUAAUUUAAAGCCCUCAAAUUUGAGUUGUUUUAUAAGGGAUAAUAUUUGUUAAUUUUUAUUGAUCUCUCAUCUUAGUUAUCAUUAUUGAUGUGAUUCAGAGAGAUACUUGAUAUUCCCAAUAAGAUUUUACUUUUUAUAUGUCUCCUAACUCCUAUAUAUGUAAAAUUAAAUUUUUGAUAAUUAUAGAAUCUAUUUUCUAGGCUCAGUUUAGUGUAAUGUUUAUGAUGCAAUGAUAUGAGGUACUUAUGUUGAUUGAUGUACUUUUGUUAUAUGAAUUUGGUAGAAGUAUAGUAUAUGGGUUAGAAGUCUAUGAUGAGGUGGUAGGGUUCAGUUUGGUGUGAAUGGAUUGUAGGAUAAUUUAUGACUCUAUAAUAGCAUUAGAUUUGUUGAAUCAUGUCUUUUCCUAUUGAAUUAGUA